rnacentral:rRNA from 1 species
UGAACGCUAGCGACAGGCCUAACACAUGCAAGUCGAGGGGCAGCACAAGGAGCAAUCUGAGGUGGCGACCAGCGCACGGGUGAGUAACACGUAUGCAACCUGCCUGUAAGCGGGGAAUAACCCGUUGAAAGACGGACUAAUACCGCAUAAUACUAAAUUACUGCAUGGUAAUCUAUUUAAACAUUUAUGGCUUACAGAUGGGCAUGCGCAUGAUUAGCUAGUUGGAGAGGUAACGGCUCCCCAAGGCAACGAUCAUUAGGGGUUCUGAGAGGAAGGUCCCCACACUGGUACUGAGACACGGACCAGACUCCUACGGGAGGCAGCAGUGAGGAAUAUUGGUCAAUGGACGAGAGUCUGAACCAGCCAAGUCGCGUGCAGGAAGAAUGUCCUAUGGAUUGUAAACUGCUUUUGCAGGGGAAUAAAGUGCAUCACGUGUGAUGUUUUGUAUGUAUUCUGCGAAUAAGGAUCGGCUAACUCCGUGCCAGCAGCAGC